AGAGUUUGAUCCUGGCUCAGGACGAACGCUGGCGGCGUGCCUAACACAUGCAAGUCGAACGAAGCUUGAUUUCAGAUUUUUUCGGAAUGACGAAUGAUAUGACUGAGUGGCGGACGGGUGAGUAACGCGUGAGCAACCUGCCCUUCGGAACGGGAUAGUGUCUGGAAACGGACAGUAAUACCGUAUAACAUAUAUUAAUCGCAUGGUUGAUAUAUCAAAACUGAGGUGCCGAAGGAUGGGCUCGCGUCUGAUUAGAUAGUUGGUGGGGUAACGGCCUACCAAGUCGACGAUCAGUAGCCGGACUGAGAGGUUGAACGGCCACAUUGGGACUGAGAUACGGCCCAGACUCCUACGGGAGGCAGCAGUGGGGAAUAUUGGGCAAUGGGCGCAAGCCUGACCCAGCAACGCCGCGUGAAGGAAGAAGGCUUUCGGGUUGUAAACUUCUUUUGUCAGGGACGAGUAGAAGACGGUACCUGACGAAUAAGCCACGGCUAACUACGUGCCAGCAGCCGCGGUAAUACGUAGGUGGCAAGCGUUGUCCGGAAUUACUGGGUGUAAAGGGAGCGUAGGCGGGAUGCCAAGUCAGCUGUGAAAACUACGGGCUUAACUUGUAGACUGCAGUUGAAACUGGUAUUCUUGAGUGAAGUAGAGGUUGGCGGAAUUCCGAGUGUAGCGGUGAAAUGCGUAGAUAUUCGGAGGAACACCGGUGGCGAAGGCGGCCAACUGGGCUUUAACUGACGCUGAGGCUCGAAAGUGUGGGGAGCAAACAGGAUUAGAUACCCUGGUAGUCCACACUGUAAACGAUGAUAACUAGGUGUGGGGGGUCUGACCCCUUCCGUGCCGCAGCUAACGCAAUAAGUUAUCCACCUGGGGAGUACGACCGCAAGGUUGAAACUCAAAGGAAUUGACGGGGGCCCGCACAAGCAGUGGAUUAUGUGGUUUAAUUCGAAGCAACGCGAAGAACCUUACCAGGGCUUGACAUCCUACUAACGAAGUAGAGAUACAUCAGGUGCCCUUCGGGGAAAGUAGAGACAGGUGGUGCAUGGUUGUCGUCAGCUCGUGUCGUGAGAUGUUGGGUUAAG
rnacentral:rRNA from 1 species